rnacentral:rRNA from 1 species
UCCAGACUCCUACGGGAGGCAGCAGUGGGGAAUCUUCCGCAAUGGGCGCAAGCCUGACGGAGCAAUGCCGCGUGAACGAAGAAGGUCUUCGGAUUGUAAAGUUCUGUCCUUAUCGAAGAGAGGGUAUAGAGUGAAAAAUGAUAUACUAGGACGGUAGAUGAGGAGGAAGCCCCGGCUAACUACGUGCCAGCAGCCGCGGUAAUACGUAGGGGGCAAGCGUUAUCCGGAAUUACUGGGUGUAAAGGGAGCGCAGACGGCAGUGCAAGUCUGGAGUGAAAGCCCGUGGCUUAACUACGGGACUGCUCUGGAAACUGUGCAGCUAGAGUGCAGGAGAGGCAGGCGGAAUUCCUAGUGUAGCGGUGAAAUGCGUAGAUAUUAGGAGGAACACCGGUGGCGAAGGCGGCCUGCUGGACUGUAACUGACGUUGAGGCUCGAAAGCGUGGGGAGCAAACAGGAUUAGAUACCCCGGUA